AACGUAGGACACAAGCGUUGUCCGGAGUUACUGGGCGUAAAGGGUGCGCAGGCGGUGGCCCGCGUGGGCGGUGAAAGACUCCUGGCUCAACUGGGAGAGGGCCGUCCAGACGGGGUCACUUGAGAGGCGGAGAGGGGCGUGGAAUUCCGGGUGGAGCGGUGAAAUGCGUAGAGAUCCGGAGGAACACCGACGGCGAAGGCAGCGCCCUGGCCGCCAUCUGACGCUCAGGCACGAAAGCUGGGGGAGCGAAACAGG
rnacentral:rRNA from 1 species